UACGUAGGGUGCGAGCGUUAAUCGGAAUACUGGGCGUAAAGCGUGCGCAGGCGGUGAUGUAAGACCGAUGUGAAAGCCCUGGGCUUAACCUGGGAAUUGCAGUCGAAACUGCUUGGCUAGAGUAUGGGAGAGGGCAGUGGAAUUCCCGGUGUAGCGGUGAAAUGCGUAGAUAUCGGGAGGAACAUCAGUGGCGAAGGCGGCUGCCUGGCCCAAUACUGACACUCAGGUGCGACAGCGUGGGGAGCAAACAGG
rnacentral:rRNA from 1 species